CGAAGGAUUCGAGCGUUAUCCGGAUUUAUUGGGUUUAAAGGGUGCGUAGGUGGACUAAUAAGUCAGUGGUGAAAGCCCGCAGCUUAACUGCGGAACUGCCAUUGAUACUGCUAGUCUUGAGUACAGUUGAGGUGGGCGGAAUGUGUCAUGUAGCGGUGAAAUGCUUAGAUAUGACACAGAACACCGAUUGCGAAGGCAGCUCACUAAGCUGUAACUGACACUGAGGCACGAAAGCGUGGGGAGCAAACAGGAUUAGAUACCCUGGUAGUCCACGCCCUAAACGAUGAUUACUCGAUGUUGGCGAUACACUGUCAGCGUCUAAGCGAAAGCAUUAAGUAAUCCACCUGGGGAGUACGACCGCAAGGUUG
rnacentral:rRNA from 1 species